GGGUGUCGCGGCGAUGGAUGUCCGCCGGGAUCAUGUUGACUAUCCGAACCGCCCACACGGGAUGAUGACUCCUACCGAAUG
rnacentral:ncRNA from 2 species